rnacentral:lncRNA from 1 species
AUGAUGCUACAGCUGACAGUCGCAAAACUUACACUCUAACUGAUUACUUAAAAAAUACUUAUAGACUGAAGUUAUACUCCUUAAGAUGGAUUUCAGAUCAUGAAUAUCUCUACAAACAAGAAAAUAAUAUCUUGGUAUUCAAUGCUGAAUAUGGAAACAGCUCAGUUUUCUUGGAGAACAGUACAUUUCAUAUGGCAAAGUGGAUCUUUCUCUCCUUCUUGAAAUGCUCCCUGCCUUGGCUACUUUUUAGUCUCCUUUGACGAUUCCUCUUCCUCUGCCCAUAUUUUUAAAUGAUGAGUUUGGACAUUCUAUCAAUGAUUAUUCAAUAUCUCCUGAUGGGCAGUUUAUUCUCUUAGAAUACAACUACGUGAAGGCAGCUGAUUACAGAAGAGAGGAUUCCAAACAACACACAGUGGGUCACAUGGUCACCAGUGGGUCAUAAAUUGGCAUAUGUUUGGAACAAUGACAUUUAUGUUAAAAUUGAACCAAAUUUACCAAGUUACAGAAUCACAUGGACGGGGAAAGAA